CUCUGAGCAGAGAAGCUCCCACCGGGCACCUGGCCCUGCUCGGCUGCAGGGCCUCCCUGCAUCGGGCUGUGGCCGGCACCCGGGUGCGGCUUGUGUGUUUGUGAGACGCAGGGGCGGGAAGAGGGCUCUGGAGUGCGCGCUGCCCUCCCGGCACCCCGCCUCGUCUGUCCGGGGCUCCGGGGAGCGGGCCACUGCGCUCGCUUGGGGCGGUCGAGCCGCCCCUCGAGGGGCUGCGGGUCACCGUGACGCUGCGACGCUCAGGAAGAGAGGCUGUGAAGGGUCAGGAGCAGAGGACACUCCUCAGGGACACCCCGAGGCCAGGCGUCCCCAGCUGGGGUGUAUGUCCCCUGCUUUUGCUGUGCCUCUUUCCUUUAGUCCCUGGAGCUCACGCAGUGUCACCGUCCUGCCUGGGACUUUUCACGUAAGUUAAAUGCCAUCCCAGGUUCUGGAAGAUUCCUCAGAAAUCAUGGCGGGAAGCCCUGCUCCUCCUUCUGGCAGAUAUUGAUUCCAGGCGCUCUGGGCUCAAUACCAGCUGUCGUGGCCCCGGGAGUGGCCCGUCCUACCUGGGACCUGCGGCCCCUCUGCUCAGAAGCUGCAGCGCAGGGGGGGCCUCCUGAAGCCGAGACGGGGCUUUGGGCGCUCCCACCGCAGUGUCACUUGGACCCUGUGCCCGGCAGCCCCCUGCGCUCUGGUUGUCCAGUUUCCCAGCAUUGUGUCACCCAGUGCGUGGCCCAAGGUCCCUUUGGGAAGGGCUGGGGCCACUGCAGUGUCUACUUGCCUCGGUGGUGCCGCGUCCUUCUCCCUGGGGACCCGGCCACAUCCCCGGGCCCCAGUUCCGGUAUCUGAAAACCGGCUCGGGACAGGACCUGGGCAAGGGGUCAGGACCUGUUUAUGGGGGUGGCUGCCCUCGGCCUCCUGCUGUCCCGGCUCUUUCGAGUGUCCAUUUUAGACAGUCCCCUGGCCGCUUGCCUGUCCUUCCCACCCCCGAAGGCCGUGCUGUAGCGCCCACCCCCCGCUCUGUGGCCAGCAUCAGAGCUCCCGGUCAGCAGUGGCCAUCGUCAUCGUCCCCGGCUUGGCGGGCAGGCCCUCUGCCGCGGUUCCUGGGUGGCGGGGUGGGGGGUCCUCUCCUCCCUUCCCAGGCUCGGCGCCCCGCCCUCUUGGCCGGAGACUUGGCUCGGCCUGGCGGCCUGGCGGCCGGCUGCCCACCUCUUCCCGUCGUCCUGGACUCCGCUGCCUGCCGUGCUGAGGUCCCACAGCACAUGGCGGGGGGGUCCCCCUGUUUCCCGGACAGGGCACACCCGUGGGGAAGACCCGAGUCCCGUUUGGCUCCCUUGGGGGGAGGGAGGUGGGUGCAGUAGCUCCUUGUGGGGCGGGGGGAGCUGCGGGCCCAGAAGUUUCAGAGACACCAGGGGUCCGUCCGAUGCAGGGCCUCCCAGCCUCCCUGUCCCUGGUGUCGGGGGUGCGGGUUUUCCCGGGUGGGCUUUGGGCGCUGGUGUGACUGACCUGCUGGUGGGAGGUUCGGCCCCUCCUGUCGAACCCCACGGGGACAUUUGUGGGCUGCCUGAGCCGGGGCUCCCCCGGGCUCUGACUCUGCCCUCCGCCCUAAGCUUCCCAUCCCCCUGCGGUCAGCAGAGCCCAGAAGUCCCCCUCGUCUGUUCACCCCCAUGCUCCGCACGCCUGGAUCUUCUCCCCCAGCAGGAAAUUCCUCUCCACCUGCCGGCCCAGCGAAGGCUCCAGCGUGAACGUUCCAGCAGCCGGACUCUGGCCUUGCACCCGGGGCUGUCUGCACGUGGCCUGCCCCCGGGGCAGGGUCUUUGUUGAGAGCAGGGCAGGUGAUGCCGGUCCCAAACCCAGAGCCCACCUUAGCGGCUGCUGUCUGGACCAGGCAGAGCGCGACGGCUCAGGCUGGGCCGCUCGGGAAGCUGAUCCCGGGAGGGGGUUGGCGGUGCCACAGGCUGCCUGGGAGGAAUGGGGCAGGCUGUGCCUUCAGCCUGCUGUGUCGCCCUCACAGUUUCUGCCAGCCCGUCUGGGAGCUGCAGGGCAGGGACGGGCAUUAGAGGUCCCCGCCAUGGGCCCCGGCGGUCAAGCCUCGCUGUGCCCGAGGCCUCGCGACCCACAUCGACCGGCCGGCCGGCCGGGAGAACCAGCAUCCGGAACUGGUGCCCGAGGCGUGGCUCUGUGCUGAGUAGGCACGCGGGGCACCAGCUGCCUCGGUCCCGGCGGCUCCGCGCUCUGCCCUGCUGCGGGCCUGGUGGCAGGUACUUUGGCCUCGUGCCCCAGACCACCCCUGGGUUGGGGAGGGGACAUGCUUCCUGGGCUUUGGCUAAGUGGCCACCUCUGACAUCGGUGUGAGCGCAGCCUGAUGGAGGAGAGCAGAUCCGAGCACCAAACAUCAAAAGGCAAAGCACCUUUAUGUCCUCAGACAGCCAUCCUGUAGGAGGCGCCUUGUCAGCGCAGGGACACUGGUGUCCAUUGGCCUCUGUGUCACUGGGGCUGGGGGCGCUGGGGCAUCUUCCAGGCCGACCCGUGAACCGCAGAGUCUGAAACGAGGCAGAAAGAGGUUGGGUGAGCGUGAAGGGCGGGGAGCCGCUGACUCCGAGCAAGGGGCUGAGGAAGGGCCCGAGAGGAGGCCGUUUGGGGGGGUUCUCGACCUCAAAGGGUCUCCUUAGCUGGGGACGGGGGGAGGGCCCCCCGAAGGGCAUUCAGGGAACAGAGGCACGAUAUAUGGCUGGAGCAGAGAGUUUGUGCAGGCUCCCCAGGCUGACACUAUCAAUUCAUGUCCACUGAGCUGCCGUUGGCAUAGCACAUUUCGGGAUGUCCAUGUGUUGUGAACUUUCAUUCCUUGCCUAUAGAGGAAUGAGCGUGUGCGUGUGUGUGUCAUUCAUUGCCUGUAAAGAGAAGUGUGUGAGUGUGUGUGUGCACACGCAUGUGCAUGUGCACACACGGCUAUCCAGAUACAGCUGGGCAUGCUGCAGUCCUCUACAGAGGGCGCCCACCGGAAGCACAUGCCUUGUCCCACCAUCACAGACCAGGGAUUGAGCCGCAGCACCACCGCUGCUGGGGAGGGUUCCUGCAGAUCAGUUUACCUCUGAGCCUCCAUUUCCUCCUCUGAAGGAUGUGCGUCAUGUGAACACGUCCCCAUGAGGAGUCACCAUGUUUGCUGGUCUCCCUGAUGGGUGACAUGGGUUGGUUCAUGUGAGAGCACCUACUGGCCGUAGUGGUUGAAGAGGCAUCUCCGUUCUCCUGAAAGAGUCAGGAAGAGUGUGGGAAGGCAGGCUUGUGCCCCGAAGCCUGCAGCUGGGAGGCAGGCAAGCAGCGCAAAACUUCGAGCCUGGAAAGGAGGAGGAGGAGGACGGUGACACCACUGGCCGCCAGUCCCAAAGGCCCUACAGGAUGUGGUGUGGUUGGGGUCCUGGGGGGCCAUUGUUGGCUUUUGGCCCCUGGAGACAAUGGAGGCAGCCUGGACCAAGUCAGACUGACAGGGUUUGAGAACUGGGGGCCAUGGCAGCACCAGGACUCCAUAAAGCUGGGAGCCUCUUCCCUGAAGCGUGGGAGGUGACGUCAGGCUGCUGCCUCAGGGAAUACAGGUCUAUGACCUGCUCGCCACGGUGCCAUCAUCCAUAACGCUUUGGCAACCAAAAGUGUUCUCACCAGUUUGACCUAACCCUUUUGGUGGUAAAGCCAAAAAUGGAUGGCACGAGGCUCUCUUAGCAUCCUGAAUUUUCGUUAUCCCACUUGGUGUUCCUAGUCAUGCGGUUCACGUGGAGACAUCGGUGUGUUCGCUAGACCCCGCCAGGGUGUUACUGAUAUCCACUCUGUGCCCCCUGAAGUCUUUCUGAGUUCCCAGACUCACGUGGCCCCAAGGCUUUUGGACAAAGCAUUGUGCACACGUGAUACUAACACCAGUAAGAGCUGACCUGUUUUGAGGACUGACACAGGCCCAGGGUUCCUGCAUGUGUGACCUUCCACCAGCCUUCGGCCACCAGGGAUGCCGUGCCUGGGACAGGCAGGACAGAGGCCCAGCCCGAGGUGGACCUGGGUGUCGGGAUAUCCGCCUUCCUGCCCAACGGCCCCAGGAUGUGGAAUCUCCUCUGUUACCAUCCACAGUUUUCUGUGGUGAAAAUGGGAUGAACCUAGAGCUGAAAUCAGGAAGGGCCCUUGGCAAUCACGUGUGCACACUUGUUUUUCUCUCUGAAAAUCUGCCCCCCGUCUUGUGUCAGGAGAUCCUGAGCCCUGUGCAUCUCUCAAUGCAGUCACACACAGCCUGGGUCCACCCAGGUAGUCCUGGGCUGUUGCGUGAUUUAGGAGUCCCUGAUUUUGCAAUGCAGGUGAUGACACAGGAAGCUUGGCAGCGUCAGGCUCACCUGGUUGGGUUGCCUUAGCACGUUUUCACAGAGGGCCGAGUGGGAAACAAAUGCAGCCGGAGGAUCUGAGCCAAAAUGGCGCGGCACAGCAGCAGCGCAGGUUCCUCUGCUGGGCCGCCCCCUCUGUCUUUGAUACACCUGUAGCUGAUGAUAUUAUUAGGAUUAACCUGGGCCCUGAAUCGCAAAGCACAUGUUUCCCCUGAGCAAAGUUGGGUUUUUCUGCCAGCCCAUGAAUUGCAAGUCCUCUUGCCUGCCCAGCCCUGCUUCCGUGCCUUGGAGACGCUUCUUCUACCCUGGUUGCCUGUGAGAACAGUGCCCUGGCCUGGGUUUCUCCUUGGCAGUGUGGCAUCGUGGCUAAGAGGCCAGGGGUUAAGUUCCAGCUCUGCUGGCAGUGAGACCUUGAGCCAGGCAUGACCCUUCUCCAGCACGAGUGCCCACAUCUGUGUUCUGGACAUACCGACAGUGUGUAGUUCCUGGGGCAGCAGUGAGGAUUCAGUGACCUGAAAGGCUAGAAUGAACUUGGUGCCCAAAGAUGUUGUGGGGAAGAAAAGCAGGAAAAUUAGGUUGGGGUCUUUAGUCUAACUUUGGGCCCUCCCACCAGCUGACAAUGGCAUAAAAAGUGCCAAAUGCCAAAU
rnacentral:lncRNA from 1 species